rnacentral:rRNA from 1 species
AAUAAAUCAAAACUUUCAACAACGGAUCUCUUGGUUCUGGCAUCGAUGAAGAACGCAGCAAAAUGCGAUAAGUAAUGUGAAUUGCAGAAUUCAGUGAAUCAUCGAAUCUUUGAACGCACAUUGCGCCCGCCAGUAUUCUGGCGGGCAUGCCUGUUCGAGCGU